UACAGAGGGGGCAAGCGUUGUUCGGAAUUACUGGGCGUAAAGGGCGCGUAGGCGGCCUUCUAAGUCGAACGUGAAAUCCCCGGGCUCAACCCGGGAACUGCGUCCGAUACUGGAAGGCUUGAAUCCGGGAGAGGGAUGCGGAAUUCCGAGGUGUAGCGGUGAAAUGCGUAGGAUAAUCUGGAGGAACACCGGUGGCGAAGGCGG
rnacentral:rRNA from 1 species